GCGAAGAGGUCACACCCGUUCCCAUACCGAACACGGAAGUUAAGCUCUUCAGCGCCGAUGGUAGUCGGGGGUUUCCCCCUGUGAGAGUAGGACGCCGCCAAGC
rnacentral:rRNA from 1 species